rnacentral:lncRNA from 1 species
GUCCGAUGGUUGUCUUCGGAUGGGCCGAUUGUGCAAAUGGGAACACUCGCGAUAAAUCGUAUCUCGUAAACCGUAACACAUUGGACAAAGUUUUCAAUUCGCAAUCUUUUUUUUUGUUAACUGAUGACGCCAUUUUUCAUUUUCGGAAGAAUACUAAGUGGCGGGGCCAUACCAGCUCUUCUACUGGCUGCCACCCCGGCGGAGGUAUUAGCCGGAUGGUGGAGGACGGGCCGGGCCCGGAUACCACGAUAAAUAUUUUCGAGAGGUGGGACUCGAGACUCGAACCCGGGUGGAUCCUCUAGAAUGGAAAACCCAAGCGUUUCCACGCGG